rnacentral:hammerhead_ribozyme from 1 species
AUCCAGCUGAUGAUUUCCAAAUAGGACGAAACGCGCGUCCUGGAU